rnacentral:rRNA from 1 species
AUGGAGCUCGCCCCGAUCUGCUCCAAAUUGCCAUGGCCGCCUCCCAAACAACUCGCUAUCGGAUCCGAGCUCGCUCGAUCUAGAGCCCCUCCCCUGAUCUCCCUCACGCCUGAGCCCGCCUGGAUCUGCCGCCUCACCGCCGGACCCGCUCCUCCCUACCCUGUUCUAGCCGCUGCUGACCAUGGCAGGAGUCGGGUCAUCGCAUACCGAAACAGAACGGUCCGCCGUCACCUUCCUUCCUUGCGUCGCCGUCGUCUGCACUUCGCAGUCCCCAUGGCCGGCGCAGUCAUCAACACCGGCCUGGCCGCCACCAGCGUCGCUGCCAUCCAAACGCACGCCGCCCCCAAGCUCCUCUUCGCGGACUACCAGUGCAUCUGUGUCGCCACCGACGCCCUCAAGAGCAUCGCCAUGGACGCGGCCUUGCUGCUGGUGGUGGUCAUCGACGUACAUCACCAAGGGAGUUGA